rfam:Helobdella robusta unplaced genomic scaffold HELROscaffold_93, whole genome shotgun sequence.
GUCUACAGCUAUAUCACGUUUUAAUCACCGGUUCUCGUCCGUCCGAGUUAAGCAACGUCGAGCCCGGUUAGUACUUGGAUGGGUGACCGCCUGGGAAUACCGGGUUCUGUAGGCU